CACGUAGGCACCAAGCGUUGUCCGGAUUUAUUGGGCGUAAAGAGCUCGUAGGCGGUUCAGUAAGUCGGGUGUGAAAACUCUGGGCUUAACCCAGAGCCGCCACUCGAUACUGCUGUGACUUGAGUUCGGUAGGGGAGUGGGGAAUUCCUGGUGUAGCGGUGAAAUGCGCAGAGAUCAGGAGGAACACCGGUGGCGAAGGCGCCACUCUGGGCCGAAACUGACGCUGAGGAGCGAAAGCGUGGGUAGCAAACAGG
rnacentral:misc_RNA from 1 species